rnacentral:rRNA from 1 species
AGAGUUUGAUCCUGGCUCAGGACAAACGCUGGCGGCGUGCGUUAAACAUGCAAGUCGGACGGGGUCGGUCCUUCGGGGCGGGUCCAGUGGCGGACGGCUGAGUAGCACGUGGGCGACCUGCCCCCCGGCGGGGGAUAGCGGCCGGAAACGGCCGGUAAUACCGCAUGCGCUCCCGCCCGUGGGUGGGCGGGAGGAAAGCGGCGACGCACCGGGGGAGGGGCCCGCGGCCCAUCAGGUAGUCGGUGGGGUGACGGCCCACCGAGCCGGUGACGGGUGGCCGGUCUGAGAGGAUGGUCGGCCAGACUGGGACUGGGACACGGCCCAGACACCUACGGGUGGCAGCAGUUAGGGAUCUUGCGCAAUGGGCUGACGCCUGACGCAGCGACGCCGCGUGGGGGAGGACGGCCCUCGGGUUGUAAACCCCUUUUCCGCGGGACGAGGACGGACGGUACCGCGGGAAGAAGCACCGGCUAACCCCGUGCCAGCAGCCGCGGUAAUAC